CCCUUAGAUGUCCUGGGCCGCACGCGCGCUACAAUGACUCACUCAGAAAGUUUUUCCUGAUCCGGAAGGAUUCGGGUAAUCUUCAUAGCAUGAGUCGUGUUAGGGAUCGAUCUUUGCAAUUAUAGAUCUUGAACGAGGAAUGCCUAGUAAGUGCAGCUCAUCAGGCUGUACUGAUUAUGUCCCUGCCCUUUGUACACACCGCCCGUCGCUCCUACCGAUUGAGUGGUCCGGUGAACCUUCUGGAUUAAGCAGCAAUGCUUGAGAAGUUAGGUAAACCUUAUCACUUAGAGGAAGGAGAAGUCGUAACA
rnacentral:rRNA from 1 species